rnacentral:rRNA from 1 species
AACGAACGCUGGCGGCAUGCCUAACACAUGCAAGUCGAACGAGACCUUCUGGUCUAGUGGCGCACGGGUGCGUAACGCGUGGGAACCUGCCCUUAGGUUCGGAAUAACUCCCCGAAAGGGGUGCUAAUACCGGAUAAUGUCUUCGGACCAAAGAUUUAUCGCCUUUGGAUGGGCCCGCGUUGGAUUAGCUAGUUGGUAGGGUAAAAGCCUACCAAGGCGACGAUCCAUAGCUGGUCUGAGAGGAUGAUCAGCCACACUGGGACUGAGACACGGCCCAGACUCCUACGGGAGGCAGCAGUGGGGAAUAUUGGACAAUGGGCGAAAGCCUGAUCCAGCAAUGCCGCGUGAGUGAUGAAGGCCUUAGGGUUGUAAAGCUCUUUUACCCGGGAUGAUAAUGACAGUACCGGGAGAAUAAGCUCCGGCUAACUACGUG